UGCAAGUCGAGCGGAGUGACCCGACGGAAAUUUUCGAAUGGACGUCGGACUCACUUAGCGGCGGACGGGUGAGUAACGCGUGGGCAACCUGCCCUGUACAGAGGAAUAACAGUGGGAAACCAGUGCUAAUACCUCAUACUCCCUCCGGGUGGCAUCACCUGGAGGGGAAAGAUUUAUCGGUACAGGAUGGGCCCGCGUCUGAUUAGUUAGUUGGUGAGGUAACGGCUCACCAAGACGAUGAUCAGUAGCCGACCUGAGAGGGUGAUCGGCCACACUGGAACUGAGACACGGCCCAGACUCCUACGGGAGGCAGCAGUGGGGAAUCUUGGACAAUGGGGGAAACCCUGAUCCAGCCAUGCCGCGUGAGCGAUGAAGGCCUUAGGGUUGUAAAGCUCUUUCGCCUGGGAAGAUAAUGACGGUACCAGGUAAAGAAGCCCCGGCUAACUCCGUGCCAGCAGCCGCGGUAAUACGGAGGGGGCUAGCGUUGUUCGGAAUUACUGGGCGUAAAGCGCGCGUAGGCGGACUGGAAAGUUGGGGGUGAAAUCCCGGGGCUCAACCCCGGAACUGCCUCCAAAACUGUCAGUCUUGA
rnacentral:rRNA from 1 species